UACGGGGGGAGCAAGCGUUGUUCGGAUUUACUGGGCGUAAAGGGCGCGUAGGCGGCGCAACAAGUCACUUGUGAAAUCUCCGGGCUUAACCCGGAGCGGCCAAGUGAUGCUGUCGUGCUAGAGUGCGGAAGGGGCUACUGGAAUUCUCGGUGUAGCGGUGAAAUGCGUAGAUAUCGAGAGGAACACCUGCGGCGAAGGCGGGUAGCUGGGCCGACACUGACGCUGAGGCGCGAAAGCCAGGGGAGCGAACGGG
rnacentral:rRNA from 1 species